rnacentral:rRNA from 1 species
AUUGAACGCUGGCGGCAUGCUUUACACAUGCAAGUCGGACGGCAGCACAGAGAAGCUUGCUUCUUGGGUGGCGAGUGGCGAACGGGUGAGUAAUAUAUCGGAACGUACCGAGUAAUGGGGGAUAACUAAUCGAAAGAUUAGCUAAUACCGCAUAUUCUCUGAGGAGGAAAGCAGGGGACCUUCGGGCCUUGCGUUAUUCGAGCGGCCGAUAUCUGAUUAGCUAGUCGGUGGGGUAAAGGCCUACCAAGGCGACGAUCAGUAGCGGGUCUGAGAGGAUGAUCCGCCACACUGGGACUGAGACACGGCCCAGACUCCUACGGGAGGCAGCAGUGGGGAAUUUUGGACAAUGGGCGCAAGCCUGAUCCAGCCAUGCCGCGUGUCUGAAGAAGGCCUUCGGGUUGUAAAGGACUUUUGUCAGGGAAGAAAAGGCUGUUGCUAAUACCGACAGCUGAUGACGGUACCUGAAGAAUAAGCACCGGCUAACUACGUG